ACGGGUGAGUAAUACAUCGGAACGUAUCCUGGAGUGGGGGAUAGCCCGGCGAAAGCCGGAUUAAUACCGCAUACGCUCUGAGGAGGAAAGCGGGGGACCUUCGGGCCUCGCGCUCAAGGGGCGGCCGAUGGCGGAUUAGGUAGUUGGUGGGGUAAAGGCCUACCAAGCCGACGAUCCGUAGCUGGUCUGAGAGGACGACCAGCCACACUGGGACUGAGACACGGCCCAGACUCCUACGGGAGGCAGCAGUGGGGAAUUUUGGUCAAUGGGGGCAACCCUGAUCCAGCAAUGCCGCGUGUGUGAAGAAGGCCUUCGGGUUGUAAAGCACUUUUGUCCGGAAAGAAAUCAUCGGGGCCAAUACCCCUGGUGGAUGACGGUACCGGAAGAAUAAGCACCGGCUAACUACGUGCCAGCAGCCGCGGUAAUACGUAGGGUGCGAGCGUUAAUCGGAAUUACUGGGCGUAAAGCGUGCGCAGGCGGUGCUGUAAGACCGAUGUGAAAUCCCCGGGCUUAACCUGGGAACUGCAUUGGUGACUGCAGCGCUGGAGUAUGGCAGAGGGGGGUGGAAUUCCACGU
rnacentral:rRNA from 1 species